GGGCUGGCGCGCUCUGAGGAGUGAGGGGCUGGCGAGAGCAGCGUGAGGGGCUCGGGCCGUACCUGCGCUGGAAGUCGGGGGCGUAGGGCUUCAGAAUAUAGAAUGGUACACCGAGAGAAUUGGACCCACCAACCCAGGAGUUUCCAAGCUGCGUUGUACCUAGAAACUGGAGAGGCUUGAGGUAUCGGUCCCAGUUAAGACCCGGGUGUGGAGAAUCCUAGGGGCUAGGGAGAAGGAAGAGUGUUGAUCAGCAUUGGCCUUGAAUUUUGAAACAUUUUUUGUAAAAGGGUUAAUAAAAACUUGAUGAAAGAUAUCUAGUAACAGAGGACCUCAGAGUGAAAGAGUUGGACAAGCUUCAGAAAGGCAUAUCUUAUUUUCCAUGCAGAUGGAAACGUUGCGUGUUCCAUGAACAUGCAGACGUUGAAACUCAGAAGCAGGAUAUCCAAUCAACCCACAGAACUGUGUCUCCAAUCCUAAACUUUUCAGAAAUCCAUGUUCGUAUGGCUACUUGCCUACUGAAAUCUCCAUUUAGCUAGGAGACCUAAACCAGCUUCUCUGCAGCGUACCCUAAGUCGGUCUUCUCAUUCUUUCUGCUGUCACACUUAUACAAGCAGCCUUCCUCUCUCGCUUGGACCAGCAUAGCUAACUGGUUUCCCCUCGCCUACUCUUUCUCACUCCUAAUCCGUUCUCUAGUUUUUCUCAAGCUUUUACUGUUUAUACGCAUCAUUUGGGGAUCUUGUUAGAAGUACAGACUCAUUCAGUUUUGGGGUGGUGCCUCAGAUUCUGCAAUUUUCACAAGCUCAGAGGUGAUACUGCUGCUGGUUGGGGACACCAUUUGACUAGUAAGGCUCUCCGCAGGAAUAAAUCAUACAACUUAAGUGAUAUGCCGCUUCACUUGAAGUUAAAUAUAAACUCUUUAUCAUUCCCUAACAAGGCCUGUGUAAUCUGGUCCCUGACUACCUUUCCACCACUUAUCUCAUCUCAUCUGGCUUUACUGUUCUGUAGUCACACAGACUUUCUUGGAACUCAUUGAGCACUUUGUAGCAUCUGACACUUUUACUUGCCCUUCUCUUUGUUGGGAAUUCUCCUCCCUGAGUUCUACAUGGCUGGUUCCUUCCAGCGUUCAUUGAGGUCUCAGUAUAAAUGUCAACUCAUUGCUGAGAAGCCUGAUUCCACUAUCUAAAUAUGGUAGAUUCCUCAAUAUCCUCCAUUACAGCACAUUCUCUCCUAUGCAACAGUUAAAAAAAUUUAGGUUUUUCUUUUUAUCUUUUAUUUGUUGAUCUCCCCCUUUAGAACAUAAACUCCAAGAGAGCAGGGACCUAUUCUGUCUUGUUCACUAUUGAACAAGCCAUGAGAGGAAGAGCAUUCCAAGUAAAGAGUUUGUGCAGUGGGGGAAUGAGUUGAUUUAGUCACAGAACAGGAAAGAAAUUUAGUGUACCUGGUGUGAAGUAGGAAGGAGAAUGCCAGGUAGUAAGGUGUGAGAGCUAGGCAGCUGUUAGAGCAUACAGGCCCUUUAAUUCAAGUGUGAUAGGAUGCUUUGGAGGGUUUUGAGCAGCAAACUGAUAUAAUCUGAUUUACAUUUUUAAAAUAUUCUCUCUGUGGCAAAUGGAUUAUAGGAAUACAAGUAUGGAAGCAGAGAGACUGUUAGGAGGCCAUUACACUGCCUAUGUAAGAAAUAAUGGCUUGGUCUAGGGUAGUAGAUGAAAAGAUGAAAAAUAGGUUUAGGAUGUAUGAUACAAUGAAUGCGUAAACUAUUCUGAAGUCAUUUAGUAUUUGUAUUAGUGUCCUAGGGCUUCUGCAAAGUACCACAAAUGGGUGGCUUAAAACAACAAAUAUUUAUCUCACAGUUCUGUAGGCUAAGUGUGAAAUGGAGGUGUCAUCAGAGUUGGUUCCUUGUGCAGGCUGUGAAGAAUUUGUUCAAUGGCUCUCUCCUAGCUUCUGGUGAAAGCUAGAAAUCUUCAGCAUUUCUUGGCUUAUGAUACAUAACUCCAACCUCUGCUUCCAUCUUCACGUGGCAUUCUGCCUAUAUCUCUGUCUCUUCACAUGGUGUUCUUUUCAAAAGGUCACCAGUCAUACUGGAUUAGGGGCCUACCAUACUCCAGUAUGACCUCAUCCUUACUAAUCUGCAACAACUCUAUUUCCAAAUAAGGUCACAUUCUGAGGUACAGGGGGGUUACCUGAGGUACUUCAGCAUAUCUUGUUUGAGGUGACGCAAUUCAACCCACGGCAAUAUUGGAACGCUAAAACAGAGGAAAUAGUUCAGAGAGAGAAUUCAUUGGAUAUGGAAGCAAAAGGAGGAGUUAAAGGUUGAGCUUUUUGAGACUGGGUGAACUCUAUCAUUAGCAAAAAUAAGGAAGACUUUGGAAGAGGGGGAGUUGAGUUCAAGGUGCCAACCCCUGGAUAGCCAAGUGGAGGUGUGUAGUUGCAAAUGUAAUUUUGGUGCCUAAUAGUUUAGAAAAGGAUAUAGCAAUUAGAGAGUCAUCCAUUUGUGGUUAAUAGUUAAUUGUGGCAAAUAGUAGGUCCUCAAUAAAUAGUUUGAAGCUGUGCUUCAUUUUGAUGUUCAAGUCUCAUAACUGAGAAACUCUAGUAUGCCUUCCUAUAGCACAUCUUUUAUGUAUUCUCAUCAGCCACAGUAGUUUGGCAAGGUUUGCUUUUCAGUAGUCUGUAUUAUAAAACCAAAAGUUUAUUGAUAACAUGCUGCAACAUGGAUUAACCUUAAAAACAUUAUGUUAAAUGAAAGAAGCUAUUCACAAAAGAUUACAUAUUCUAUGAUUCCAUUUAUAUGAAAUGUCCAGAACAGGUAAAUCUAUGGAGACAGAAAGUAGAGUAUUGGUUUACCACGGCUGAAAGGAAUAAAGAGUGACUUCCUAUAAGUAUGAGGUUUCUUUUUGGGGUAAUAAAAAUUUUCUAAAAUUGAUUGUGGUCAUGAUUGCACAGCUCUGUGUGUAGACUAAAAACUAUUCAAUUGUAUGCUUUAAAUAACCAUAUGGUAUGGGAAUUAUAGCUCGAUAAGGCUGUUUUAAAAAUACUAAAAAAGGAUUUUUUAAAUAUAAGUAAUAUUUAAUAUGCUCUUUCUAUAUCCCCCCUGUUGAAAAUCACUAGAAAGAAAAAAAAAUGAAGAAAACCAGAGAGCUGUGACCAAACUCUGGAAGAGAAGUAAAAAAGAAGUAACAAAUAAAAACCAGGAGUGGUGAUAAAGGAAAACUUGAUAUCUGAGAAGACAAAGGAGAAAUUUCAGAAAGAAAAGAAUGAUAAUAACUCUUCUAUCUUUAAUAAUGUCAUUGAGGACCAAGGUUCUUUGGUUCUUUGAUUUCCUCAUUAUGUAGGCUUUGACCUCAAGUUUGUCCCCUCAUGAUCAUAAAAUGGCUGCCACAACUCUAAGCAUCACUCCUUCAUAAGGCCACAUCUAAAGGAAGGAAAAAUGAGUGUUUAUUCUGUGCAUCUUUGCUUAAAGGAAAACUUUUUUUCAGAUGUUACUAUCAAACUUUCCUUUAUAUCUCUUUGGCUAGAACUAGGUCUCAUCCCACCCCUAACACUGACAUGGAGGAAUGUGACUACCAUGAUUGGUUUAAAUUAAUUGUGACACACUGCUUGAAUUGGAUUCACCUUCCCUUACUGCAUUGCUGCCCAACAUCUGGAUAAAAUGGUGAUUCAAUUUACGUAGAAGAAGAGGGAUGGAUAAUCAACGUCUGCCAUGUCUUCCUUUGCUAUCCAUCCUAGAUCCCACUACCCAUGGAACUCGCCAGUGUUAUUAUCUGUCUAGUCUCCUUGUGAUUGAUUUUACCAUACUUACAUGGCAAAACUCCAACCUAGAGUCAAUUAAUUUGCCUUCUCCAUUAGUACAUCCAGACUGCUGGGGAAUACCAAAAAAAAAUCACAACUGUAGAAACUGGUUUCACUAAAACUCCUUCCUCAUGCAAGGUCACCAAAGUUUUACAGUCCAUACACUACAUAAGGAAUGCCCAACCAAGAGGGCAAAUGAGGGCAUUCACUUUGAGGAAGAGGAGAUUUUUCUUUGCACAAAGGUGCUUCCCCCUUAUCAAGCUAUGAAUCCUUAGGAGUGUGUCCACCGAGAGAAGGCACUUCUUUCUGAUCCACAGAAGGACACAGUGUGGGUGAGUGGUAGCCCUGCCUUCAAUUCUGUCUCUCUCCCUUGACCAUGACCCUGCUCUUCCUUCGUUGCCAACUUCUUGACAGAUUAUCCCAUGCACUGGGAUAACACACUGUGGGCUGGCUUAUGUUCCUACUAUGUCCGAAGUCGUCUUUCCAGAAUACCCAAAACUUCCUAGUUGUUAAACCCAAUGGGCAGUUUUUAGUUCUUGUCUUAUUUAACCUCUGAAGAUAUGGAACUGCUGAUCAUAUCUAUUAAGAAAGAAAGGAUAGAAAGUUGUGACAGAAUUUGAGAUAAUAAAGAUGUGUAGCCACUGUGUGAUGUGGGAAAGAAAACUAGUGAAGGACAGGAUUUCUGAACAAUGGUGAGAGCACAGCUGAGGCUCGGCAUCCAACACCUGAAAUAGUGCUACGUGGCCCAACCAUUAGUUUUUGUUCCACAUUGCUUAAUAGCCUGAGUGUGUGAGUUCAAAAAAUAAAUAUUUGGAUGAAGCUAGGGUUAGAGAUUGACAGGGUGAGUAUAGCAGAAGGUCAGUAGGGCUGAGAAACUUGUGCUGGUCACCAUGUCACACACAUGCUUAGCCAUGGAAUUCAGUAAGGGUGGUUAAAACAGAAGAUCUUUGUGAGUGCUGGGUAUUGAUUUAGCAAGGGUAAGAAAAAUUGUUGGCAAAAGAAAAGUUGUUUGCGGUUAAUGAGAGCAGUGACCCUUGAUCCGGACUGCCUGAGUUCUCAGCAGAGCUCCUCCAUGUAUAACCUUGGCAAGUUACUUCACCUCUCUAUGCCUUCAUCAUCUUCACUGCAAAGUGUGGUGAGGAUUAUAUGAGAAUAUUUAAUCAUUUAAUAAGUUCUUAGGAUAGUGCCUAUCAUACAGUAAGCACUAUAUGUAUUAGCUAUUAUUAUUAAUAGGUAGUGAACUUUAAAAGGAAAGGUGUGGCUUUUCCGUCCCUAUAUCCAUAACACACAUUCAAAUUUCUCCAUAUUAGUAUUUAAACUUAUUCCGUGAUUCUGGAUAUGAAACACUGAAACAUGGAAGAAACAUGAGGAUGGGUAAUUUUAUUUAUUUUCCAAAUGAAAUAUUUGAGUGCCUACCAUUCAUAAGGCAUUAUGUGAAAGCAUUGUGAUGGUAAAAAGACCUUUGAUGUGAUCCAUUAAGAUAGUCACAAUAUUAGACAAUUCAUAAAUGAACAUUUAAACAAUGAUAGCUCAAAAUACUACACAGUUGUAUUAAAAUUGUAUUUUCAAGUUUAAUCAGA